rnacentral:rRNA from 1 species
GCGAUUGGAGCGGCCGAUGUCAGAUUAGGUAGUUGGUGGGGUAAAGGGCCCACCAAGCCAACGAUCUGUAGCUGGUCUGAGAGGACGACCAGCCACACUGGGACUGAGACACGGCCCAGACUCCCUACGGGAGGCAGCAGUGGGGAAUUUUGGACAAUGGGCGCAAGCCUGAUCCAGCAAUGCCGCGUGCAGGAAGAAGGCCUUCGGGUUGUAAACUGCUUUUGUACGGAACGAAACGGUCUGGGUUAAUACCCUGGGCUAAUGACGGUACCGUAAGAAUAAGCACCGGCUAACUACGUG